rnacentral:rRNA from 1 species
GGGGUGAGUAAUGCUUAGGAGUCUGCCAAUUAGUGGGGGACUACGUUCCGAAAGGAGCGCUAAUACCGCAUACGUCCUACGGGAGAAAGCAGGGGACCUUUGGGCCUUGCGCUAAUAGAUGAGCCUAAGUCGGAUUAGCUAGUUGGUAGGGUAAAGGCCUACCAAGGCGACGAUCUGUAGCGGGUCUGAGAGGAUGAUCCGCCACACUGGGACUGAGACACGGCCCACACUCCUACGGGAGGCAGCAGUGGGGAAUAUUGGACAAUGGGGGGAACCCUGAUCCAGCCAUGCCGCGUGUGUGAAGAAGGCCUUUUGGUUGUAAAGCACUUUAAGCGAGGAGGAGGCUACCUAGAUUAAUACUUUAGGAUAGUGGACGUUACUCGCAAAAUAAGCACCGGCUAACUCUGUGCCAGCAGCCGCGGUAAUACAGAGGGUGCGAGCGUUAAUCGGAUUUACUGGGCGUAAAGCGUGCGUAGGCGGCCAAUUAAGUCAAAUGUGAAAUCCCCGAGCUUAACUUGGGAAUUGCAUUCGAUACUGGUUGGCUAGAGUAUGGGAGAGGAUGGUAGAAUUCCAGGUGUAGCGGUGAAAUGCGUAGAGAUCUGGAGGAAUACCGAUGGCGAAGGCAGCCAUCUGGCCUAAUACUGACGCUGAGGUACAAAAGCAUGGGGAGCAAACAGGAUUAGAUACCCUGGUAGUCCAUGCCGUAAACGAUGUCUACUAGCCGUUGGCGCCCUUGAGGCUUUAGUGGCGCAGCUAACGCGAUAAGUACACCGCCUGGAGAAGUACGGUCGCAAGACUAAAAACUCAAAUGAAUUGACGGGGGGCCCCGCACCAAGCGGUGGGAGCAUGUGGUUUAAUUUCGAUGCAACGCGAAAAAACCUUACCUGGCCUUGAACAUACAGAGAAUCUUUCCAGAAGAUGGAUUGGCUGCCCUUCGGGAAACUCUGAAUACAGGUGCUGCAUGGCUGUCGUCAGCUCGUGUCGUGAGAUGUUGGGUUAAGUCCCGCAACGAGCGCAACCCUUUUCCUUAUUUGCCAGCACUUCGGGUGGGAACUUUAAGGAUACUGCCAGUGACAAACUGGAGGAAGGCGGGGACGACGUCAAGUCAUCAUGGCCCUUACGGCCAGGGCUACACACGUGCUACAAUGGUCGGUACAAAGGGUUGCUACACAGCGAUGUGAUGCUAAUCUCAAAAAGCCGAUCGUAGUCCGGAUUGGAGUCUGCAACUCGACUCCAUGAAGUCGGAAUCGUUGGUAAUCGUGGAUCAGAAUGCCGCGGUG